UUGAACGCUGGCGGCAGGCCUAACACAUGCAAGUCGAGCGGAUGAAGGGAGCUUGCUCCUGGAUUCAGCGGCGGACGGGUGAGUAAUGCCUAGGAAUCUGCCUGGUAGUGGGGGAUAACGUCCGGAAACGGGCGCUAAUACCGCAUACGUCCUGAGGGAGAAAGUGGGAGAUCUUCGGACCUCACGCUAUCAGAUGAGCCUAGGUCGGAUUAGCUAGUUGGUGGGGUAAAGGCCUACCAAGGCGACGAUCCGUAACUGGUCUGAGAGGAUGAUCAGUCACACUGGAACUGAGACACGGUCCAGACUCCUACGGGAGGCAGCAGUGGGGAAUAUUGGACAAUGGGCGAAAGCCUGAUCCAGCCAUGCCGCGUGUGUGAAGAAGGUCUUCGGAUUGUAAAGCACUUUAAGUUGGGAGGAAGGGCAGUAAGUUAAUACCUUGCUGUUUUGACGUUACCAACAGAAUAAGCACCGGCUAACUUCGUG
rnacentral:rRNA from 1 species